CUGCUCCCUAACAAUUGCGUCAAAAUCAAGCAGAAGGACAGCAUGUGGCAGCCGCUGGAGCUUUGCUUUCUGCCCCCUCUUCUGACCCCACACACCUUCCUAACUUCACACGCAGCUCUGGGUUCGCUGGGUGAUGUGUUGAAGCAGGGGAAGGCCAUGUUUAAGGAGCUCUGCUUAUUUUUUUCCUUCCCUUAAUUGAUUUUCCUUUUGUUGCUGAGCAAGUGUCCAGAGGAAGAGAGACCACAGGGUCUCUGCUGCUCUUGAAACAUGGGGUCCCCCUUCCAGGGGCCAGGGCCUGAGGACUUCACGUUUCGGGGCAGGACUGCAGGGAGGAGCAGCCACAGCAUGUCCCUGGUUUCCUCCUCAAUCUGCCGGCAAGGAGCAGGCUGGUUGUGGCGGCCAGUGAAGGACUGGAUUGACAUUGGGGGGCCCACCCGAAGCCGGUGAGGGGAGAAGUCGGGGUAAGGACUCCCAGAGGAAGCUCAUCAAACAGUCCCGCAACACCUCACCCUGCUUUCGGGGCCACUAACCCAGCUCACACCGUGGAAUCGUCCCCCGUAAGGCUCUUAGGUUCGAGCCCCGGGUGUGCCUCCUUUUCAGUGGGGACCCCAGUGACUGGGAGCAGGUGGGAGAUGCCGUGACCCAAGCAGAGGCGGCCCUUCGCCUGACGGGAGCAGCCCCCUGCCGUGGGCGGCGCAGGCCUCCGGGAGUGUCCACCUGGCAGCGGGGAGCGACGGCCCGUGUAGGGACGUGGGCGGGUGGGAGAAGAGAAGCCUGCAGAGGACGGUGGCAGAGACGGAGAAGACAGUCCAGACACCUUUCAGGGAUGAGAGGAAGGAGGCCAGGCAGCGCCAUCGGCUGUGCUCAUCUGUCAGGAAGCAAGAGUCUCCUGGCGGGGGGAUGUCCACAAGAUAAGGUUUGAAAUCUUAAAGGAAAACACAGCAAGAAGCGUGAGGAAGACAAAGAGACUCCAGAAAGCAAACCCACAAAAGGUUCCAGUAAUGGGAACUGGAGCCCCUGCUUCAGGGGAAGGCUCCCAGCCUUCUCUCAGACCAGGAGCUCGGGGGGACAUGACUAUCCCCAAACUUCCUGUCUUAACAAAGGUACAGAAUCGCACACACACAAAGGGUAAGCUGUCAUCUGCUUAAGAACGCAAAGUCUCACAUAUUACAAACCAUUUCAAAUGGUUUUAAAAAUAUUAACCUUUAAGUAAGGAGUAAAUUUCCAUCAUUUAGAAAAAUAAAUUCUAUGAAACUCUUCA
rnacentral:lncRNA from 12 species